rnacentral:misc_RNA from 1 species
CAGCAAAUAAAGGCUCACUUUUCGUCCGAGCGCAGCCUGUCGCCUUCGGAAACCGCGCGGAGACAGGAGGAGGCAUAGAAAAAGAAAGCGCUCCUCUGGUGCCUGCCUGCCUCACUGACAGCCAUUAGUGUACACGACCGGGCAGAAGAGAGAAGCGCGUUUCGGAACCGAGACCGAGAAGGCAGCGAAAGUGAGUGUCGUCCUCGUCAAUAAUCUCGGAGUGAGUGAAGCGCGAAGCAGGCAUGGCUUCUUCGGCAACCCUGACAGCGGGCGACAGCAUGACCGCCGAACCGUUCCUGAGACGGGAUCCCCGCACCAUCGAAUGGGCACUGGCCGGCAAUAAGCAGUUCCUCAUCAGCCUGUUCGUCGCGUACGUCUACAUCGUCAAGGUGGGAGGGCCGCGGUUCAUGAAAGGCCGCAAGCCGUACGAUGGCAUCAAGCCGCUCAUCAUCGUCUACAACGCGGCCAUGGUCCUGCUCAACUGCUACUUCGUGGUGGCCUUCCUCUCCAAGUCGUACCUGGGCGGUGGCUACAACCUCCUCUGCCAAGGCAUCAACUACGAGGCCCGCGACGAGGUUACCAUGAGCAUGCUCACCCUCUGCUGGUGGUACCUGAUGGUGAGGAUCGCCGACUUUCUGGACACCUUCUUCUUCGUGCUCCGCAAGAAGGACUCGCACAUCUCCUUCCUGCACGUCGUGCACCACAUCUUGGUGGUCUUCAACGGCUGGUUCGGGCUCGCCUACGGUCCCGACGGCCAGGUCGCGCUCGGCGUCAUCCUGAACAGCUUCGUGCACGUGGUCAUGUACAGCUACUACUUCCUCUCGCUGCUCGGCCCGUCCGUGCAGAAGCACCUGUGGUGGAAACGCUACCUCACCCAGUUCCAGCUCGUCCAGUUCGUCAUGAUUUUCCUGCACACACUGGUGCCGUUUUUCAUCAGCUGCGGCUACCCGAGGCCGCACACCUACAUCAUGCUGUGCGAGGCCGUCUUCUUCUUCGCCAUGUUCGUGCGCUUCUACCUGAAGGCCUACAGCGACAAGAAGGGUCCCAGCAUAAAGGGCGAAGCCGUCAAGAACAAGGCUCACUAAUAGUUUCGACCCGCACGUUAGUCCCACCAAGAUUUGGUUUGAAUACAGAGUAGCGCCAAAAGAGGUCGACCUACAGAGAGAAACGACAAGUGGUAACGCUGCGUCUUUUGUUGUUCUAUUCUGUUUACGAACUCACCUCUCCAUCCUGUGAUAUAGGCGAAAGACUGAAGCACUGUUUUGUUGCCAUCUCAUGGACCAUUUUCUUUAGAUUUGUUUUUUCAACGAAAGAAUAGCGAAUCUCACGCUCUUCGGCUUGAACUUUCAUUCGUAGAUUCCAGUUACUGGCACUCAUAUAGCGGUGGCAUUGGAAAAGUUGUCGUGUUACGCUGCAGGGUGAGAAAUAUCAAGAGCAUUCGUUGGCUGCUAACAGCUCUCGGGCGAAAGAAGCGAUCUAAUUGCAUCCGCAACUUGUCAUGUUGGUGGUGGCAUUUAGUAUACGGUGUCAUUUCAAUAAGGUCGCCACGUCCCAGUAUUUCGUCAAAUAGUCAUCACAUCAUAAUAUCUCAAAAUAAGGCCGAAAUUUAAACGUCCGACAUCGAGGCAGCGUCCGUUUCGCGAUUUCUUUCACAAGAACGCGUAUUUACUAUCAUUUGUGCCUUCAGAAUGGGGCUCCAAGCCACGAGCAGUUCCGGGCAGAGUCAUAUAGGAGCACGCCUCGAGCUGCCUUAACGUUUGCGGGGUGUUUGA